GAGUUUGAUCCUGGCUCAGGACGAACGCUGGCGGCGCGCUUAAUGCAUGCAAGUCGAACGAUCCUGAUUGGCUUCGGCUUUUCAGGAUAGUGGCGAACGGCUGAGUAACGCGUGAGCGACCUGCCCUUAGGUGGGGGAUAGCCCCGAGAAAUCGGGAUUAAUACCCCAUGAGCUCCACAGGGUAGUGCUUGUGGAGGAAAGGUAUGGGGUAACCCAUGCCGCCUUUGGAGGGGCUCGCGGCCUAUCAGGUUGUUGGUGAGGUAACGGCCCACCAAGCCAGAGACGGGUAGCUGGUGUGAGAGCACGAUCAGCCAGAGGGGGACUGAGACACGGCCCCCACUCCUACGGGAGGCAGCAGCAGGGAAUCUUGGACAAUGGGCGAAAGCCUGAUCCAGCGACGCCGCGUGAGGGACGAAGGCUCUAGGGUCGUAAACCUCUUUUCUCGGGGAAGAGCAAGGACGGUACCCGAGGAAUAAGCCACGGCUAACUACGUGCCAGCAGCCGCGGUAAUACGUAGGUGGCAAGCGUUGUCCGGAAUUACUGGGCGUAAAGGGUCCGUAGGCGGUCCGGCAAGUCUCUUGUGAAAUCUCCCGGCUCAACUGGGAGUGGUCGAGGGAUACUGUCGGACUUGAGGACGUCAGAGGGAGACGGAAUUCCCGGUGUAGUGGUGAAAUGCGUAGAUAUCGGGAGGAACACCAGUGGCGAAGGCGGUCUCCUGGGGCGAUCCUGACGCUGAGGGACGAAAGCGUGGGGAGCAAACCGGAUUAGAUACCCGGGUAGUCCACGCCCUAAACGAUGGAUGCUAGGUCUGGGGGGUAUCGACCCCCUCCGGGCUGAA
rnacentral:rRNA from 1 species